rnacentral:lncRNA from 1 species
CCUUGGACCAAUCUAUAGUUUGUACUUGGAACUGCAAGGCUUGAAACAAGGUUCUUCUUAAGUACUUUUUAACGUCAACACGAAUUUCACUUCCAGCUUACGGCUUCCUCUUUAUAGCCACAUAACUUAAUGCUAGCUUUCACAAAAUCCAUAGCAAAACUCCUCUUGAACAUCUCCUUGGGAAUAUCUAUAUUAGACUUAUGUC